GCCACAUCAUGUUAAACAUUAAACCGGUUUGGGUUGAAAAGAAUGUCAAUAAAAUAAUACACAUAUUUUGUAGGUAAAUAGCUUUUUUUUUUUUUUAAGGUCACAUUGCCUCAGGUUCAGGAAGAGGCUGGGAAAUCAAAUAUUGAACACAAUCAACUUAGAUAUUUUUUUAAAAAAUGAGUCUGCCUCAAAUGAGAAAACAUGCUAGUGGUCUAGGUCGAGGAAAGAG
rnacentral:lncRNA from 1 species